AGCGAACGCUAGCGGCAGGCUUAACACAUGCAAGUCGAACGCCCCGCAAGGGGAGUGGCAGACGGGUGAGUAACACGUGGGAACGUACCCUUUGGUUCGGAAUAACUUGGGGAAACUCAAGCUAAUACCGGAUAAGCCCUUAUGGGGAAAGGUUUACUGCCGAAGGAUCGGCCCGCGUCUGAUUAGCUAGUUGGUGAGGUAAUGGCUCACCAAGGCGACGUUCAGUAGCUGGUCUGAGUGAAUGAUCAGCCACAUUGGGACUGAGACACGGCCCAGACUCCUACGUGAGGCAGCAGUGGGGAAUAUUGGACAAUGGGGGCAACCCUGAUCCAGCCAUGCCGCGUGAGUGAUGAAGGCCUUAGGGUUGUAAAGCUCUUUUACCCGGGACGAUAAUGACUGUACCGGGAGAAUAAGCCCCGUCUAACUUCGUGCCAGCCGCCGCCGUAA
rnacentral:rRNA from 1 species